CCAGCCUCUGUUCCUAUGCAGGCAGGGCCAUCAGGCACCAGAAGGAUUUUGCCAGCAUAGUGCUCCUGGACCAGCGAUACGCCCGGCCCCCUGUCCUGGCCAAGCUGCCGGCCUGGAUCUGAGCCAGUGUGGAGGUCAAAGCUACCUUUGGCCCCGCCAUUGCUGCUGUGCAGAAGUUUCACCGGGAGAAGUCGGCCUCUUCCUGAUGGGCAAUCACACCACCGCCCGGCGCCAUGCCCUUCCUUUGUCCUGCCCUCUGGAGACAGUGUUUGUCGUGGGCGUGGUCUGCAGGGAUCCUGUUACAAAGGUGAAACCUAGGAGGAGAGUGUGGAGUCCAGAGCGCUGCCAGGACCCAGGCACAGGCGUUAGCUCCCGUAGGAGAAAAUGUGGGAAUCCUGAAUGAACAGUGGGUCCUGGCUGUCCUUGGGGCGUUCCAGGGCAGCUCCCCUCCUGGAAUAGAAUCUUUCUUUCCAUCCUGCAUGGCUGAGAGCCAGGCUUCCUGCCUGGUCUCCGCAGGAGGCUGUGGCAGCUGUGGCAUCCACUGUGGCAUCUCCGUCCUGCCCACCUUCUUAAGAGGCGAGAUGGAGCAGGCCCAUCUGCCUCUGCCCUUUCUAGCCAAGGUUAUAGCUGCACUGGACUGCUCACUCUCUGGUCUCAAUUUAAAAUGAUCCCAUGGCCACAGGGCUCCUGCCCAGGGGCUUGUCACCUUCCCCUCCUCCUUCCUGAGUCACUCCUUCAGUAGAAGGCCCUGUUCCCUAUCCUGCCCCACAGCCCUGCCUGGAUUUGUAUCCUUGGCUUCGUGCCAGUUCCUCCGAGUCUAUGGCACCUCCCUCCCUCUCAACCACUUGAGCAAACUCCAAGACACCUUCUACCCCGACACCAGCAAUUAUGCCAAGGGCCAUUAGGCUCUCAACAUGACUAUAGAGACCCCGUGUCAUCAUGGAGACCUUUGUUCCUAUGGGAAAAUAUCCCUCCCACCUGCAACAGCUGCCCCUGCUGACUGCGCCUGUCUUCUC
rnacentral:lncRNA from 1 species